AAAAAGUGGAAGAAAAAGACAUCUCUCUCAUAAAGUUGUGCUCUGGUUUUAAUACUGCAGUGGCUGCUUUCUAAAGGGAUGGCAUCCAACUCUAGACUAAUGAGAAUCUGCUGCUUUAGAGCAUUGUUACUGGUGUGAAGAGGGUUAUAAAAGUAAAACCAUGCAGAGUGAUUACACACUAAUGCUCCAAUUUAUGUUUAGCUGAACAGACAGCUCACUAGGGAGCACUGAUUUGUGAACAGCUUUAAUUGUAUGAGGUGCCAGAUCUGCCUGGAAGUGUCUGAUAAUGAUAAGUGCUUUUUUAAUGCUCUGCUGAUGUCUACUUGUUCUAGACUACGGGUUCUCAAACUUUUCUGAGUGUAGAAAACAUCUUUUCAGAGAACAAAUUACCUGCAGAGCAUUGCCUUGACUUCCCCGAGUUUAACAAACCUGUAACUGGAACUGCUGGGCAACUACAGCAGCUGGAAAAGAAACACUGAGACAGCAGAGAGCCAUUAGGAUUUUAAAAACAACUUAGUGAGGAGGUGAAUAUUAUACCAACCUUCUAGGCUGGUUGGGUUUUUUUCUGACUAUUGGCAAGUGCUUUGAAGGCAGCUCAGUUGCCACAGACCAUCUCUGUUCAAGCCUGCCUGAAGCUUUUCAGCCAAAGUCCAAUUUGCGAAAUGCCAUCAACGUGAAAGGAACAGCUCUGGAUUUAAAAGCAAGCCAGUUGUUUUUGCAAGUCUGUGUUUGUGUACCAGAUCCGUGGCAGUGACCUGUUAACUUUUAGUUAAGCAAAAGAACCCAAAAAACCCCAACCAAAAAUAAAGUUGAUUCUUAACAA